rnacentral:rRNA from 1 species
UACGUAGGGAGCGAGCGUUGUCCGGAAUCAUUGGGCGUAAAGAGCGCGUAGGCGGUCCGGUAAGUCCGCUCUGAAAGUCCGGGGCUCAACCCCGGGAGGCGGGCGGAUACUGUCGGGCUAGAGUCCGGAAGAGGCGAGUGGAAUUCCUGGUGUAGCGGUGAAAUGCGCAGAUAUCAGGAGGAACACCAAUGGCGAAGGCAGCUCGCUGGGACGGUACUGACGCUGAGGCGCGAAAGCGUGGGGAGCAAACAGG